rnacentral:lncRNA from 1 species
AUGGACUCCGAUGAACAAACUAGUGUGGAGGAGGCCUCGAAGUCCGUGGAAAUCGUGGUGGAGACGGAGGCGGAGGCUGGAGCCAGCGGCUACAGUGUGACUGGUGGAGGAGAGCGAGGGAUCUUCGUUAAAGACGUGCUCAAAGACUCUCCAGCUGCUAAACAUCUCAGUCUACAACAAGGAGACCAGCUGCUGAGUGCAAAAGUCUACUUUGACAAUGUCAAGUAUGAAGACGCCCUGAAGAUCCUUCAGUGUGCAGAACCAUACAAAGUCAGCUUCCUGCUAAAGAGGACCAUCCCUGGAGCAGAGGUCAGCGUGCGGCCUCGAGUUCCCAGUGUGGAGGUCAAAGGUCCCAAAGCCAAGAUAUCCAAAAUGGGAACGCCCCCCAGGGUGGAGACGACUGACGUAGAUGUGGAGUUUUCCCUCCCCAAAUUCAAACAGAGACGGAGUCCAAAGGUUGAAGCAGAAGGACUGAAAGUUAAAGGUACAGCCAUUCAGACAGGCCCAGAAGGAGCAUCUCUCAAGCUCCCCACUGUCAGACUACCAACAGUUGACAUUGCUGCUCCAAAGGUGGAUCUUGACUUUGGUCUCAACAAAUCUAAAGGUGACGAUGUGGAAGUGGAGCUUCUGAAAGCAGAGGGAGGUAGACCUUCUUCAGGGGGCAGCUUUGACCUACCUAAUAUCUCCAUUAAAGGCCCAAGUUUCUCACUUCCCAGGUUUGGUGGAAAGUCCAAGGGUGGUGAUUUGGAGAUUUCUGGAAAAAGCCCUAAGGAAGGUGUUUCUCUCAGACCACCAAAUGUAGAAGGAGAAAUAAGGGCACCAUCAGUAGAGUUUGAUGGGGAUGGAAAAGUGAAGGUGAAAAAACCUAAAAUCAAAAUGCCCUCAUUUGGAAUAUCCAAGAAGGAUGCAGAUGUAUCUGUAUCUUGUCCCGAUAUGGAUGUUAAAAUGAAAAAAGGGAAAAUCAAUAUAAAUAAACCGAAAGUCAAUGUUGAGAAACUUGAUGCUAAACUGGAGGCAGAUGUGAAGGGGAAAGGUGAAACUGAGGUUCUUCUUCCCAAAAUCCCAACCAUUGACAUUUCCAUUCCUAAAAUAGACCUGGAUGUGUCACUACCAAAAGCAAAGUCUCCAAAGAUUGAAGGACCAGAAGUGGAACUUAAAGGAGGGGAAGAAAGAUUUAAGAUGCCAUCUAUAGCUGUUUCCUUUCCCAAAGGAAAAUCUGGAGAGCUUGAAACACCAGAUGUUCAAAUAGAUGGUGAUGAAAGUGACAAACUUAAGAUGCCUCAUUUUAAAAUGCCUAAGGUUGACAUUACUUUUCCAAAGAUUAAAACCGGAAAUGUUGAUACACCAAAUUUGGAAGAAAAGGUAGAGGGAGGAGAGUUCACAAUGCCCCAUUUUAAUAUGCCUUCAAUUUCACUGUCAAAACCAAAGCUGGAAGGCCCAGAAGUUGAAGCUAAGGGAGAUGCAGGUGGAAAGUUCACAAUGCCUUACAUGAAAAUGCCAGAUGUUGAUAUAUCUCUGCCCAAAGGAAAAAUAGAAGGUCCAGAUGUUGAUAUCGAGGAAGGUACAGGAAGAAAAUUCAAAAUGCCUCACGUUAAACUGCCCGAUGUUGACAUUUCACUGCCUAAAGGAAAACUCAAACCACCAGAAUAUGAAGUUGAGGGAGAUGAAAGAGGAAAGUUCAAUAUGCCAGAUGUUGACAUCUCUCUGCCUAAAGGAAAAAUGAAAGCUCCAGAUGUUGACAUCUCUCUGCCCAAAGGAAAAAUUAAAGCUCCAGAUGUUGACAUCUCUCUGCCUAAAGGAAAAAUUGAAGGUCCAGAUGUUGAAAUUAAGGGAGAGGGUGGGAAAUUUAAGAUGCCUCACAUCAGUAUGCCUUCAGUUGAUAUUUCACUGCCUAAGGGAAAAUUUGAAGGACCUCAAGUUGAAGUUGAGGGAGAUGCAGGUGGAAAGUUCAAAAUGCCUCACCUGAAAAGGCCAGAUGUUGAUAUCUCUCUGCCCAAAGGAAAACUUGAAGGACCAGAUGUUGACAUCUCUCUGCCCAAAGGAAAAAUUAAAGCUCCAGAUGUUGACAUCUCUCUGCCCAAAGGAACAAUUGAAGGUCCAGAUGUUGAUAUCCCUUUGCCCAAAGGAAAGAUUGAAGGUCCUGAGGUAGGGAUCAAAGGGAAAGACGGGAAAUUCAAGAUGCCACAUAUAAGCAUGCCCUCUGUUGAUAUUUCACUGCCCAAAGGAAAAAUUGAAGCUCCAGAUGUUGACAUCUCUCUGCCCAAAGGAAAAAUUGAAGCUCCAGAUGUUGAUAUCUCUUUGCCCAAAGGAAACAUUGAAGGUCCAGAUGUUGAUAUCUCUUUGCCCAAAGGAAAAAUUGAAGGUUCAGAUGUUGACAUUAAGGGAGAGGGUGGGAAAUUUAAGAUGCCUCACAUCAGUAUGCCUUCAGUUGAUAUUUCACUGCCUAAGGGAAAAUUUGAAGGACCUCAAUUCAAAAUGCCUCACCUGAAAAUGCCAGAUGUUGAUAUCUCUCUGCCCAAAGGAAACAUUGAAGGUCCAGAUGUUGAUAUCUCUCUGCCCAAAGGAACAAUUGAAGGUCCAGAUGUUGAUAUCUCUCUGCCCAAAGGAAAAAUUGAAGGUCCAGAUGUUGAUAUCUCUCUGCCCAAAGGAAAAAUUAAAGCUCCAGAUGUUGACAUCUCUCUGCCCAAAGGAAAAAUUAAAGCUCCAGAUGUUGAUAUCUCUUUGCCCAAAGGAAACAUUGAAGGUCCAGAUGUUGAUAUCUCUCUGCCCAAAGGAAAAAUUGAAGGUCCAGAGGUCAAGAUCGAAGGAGGUACAGGAGGAAAAUUCAAAAUGCCUCAUGUUAAACUGCCAGAUUUUGGCAUUUCACUGCCUAAAGGAAAACUCAAAGGACCAGAAUUUAAAGUUGAGGGAGAUGCAGGAGGAAAAUUCAAUAUGCCAGAUGUUGACAUCUCUCUGCCCAAAGGAAACAUUGAAGGUCCAGAUGUUGACAUCUCGUUGCCCAAAGGAAACAUUGAAGUUUCAGAUGUUGAAAUUAAGGGAGGGGGUGGGAAAUUUAAGAUGCCUCACAUCAGUAUGCCUUCAGUUGAUAUUUCACUGCCUAAGGGAAAAUUUGAAGGACCUCAAGUUGAAGUUGAGGGAGAUGCAGGUGGAAAGUUCAAAAUGCCUCACCUGAAAAUGCCAGAUGUUGAUAUCUCUCUGCCUAAAGGAAAAAUUGAAGGUCCAGAUGUUGAUAUCUCUCUGCCCAAAGGAAAAAUUGAAGGUCCAGAUGUUGAUAUCUCUUUGCCCAAAGGAAGGAUUGAAGGUCCUGAGGUGGGGAUCAAAGGGAAAGACGGGAAAUUCAAGAUGCCACAUAUAAGCAUGCCCUCUGUUGAUAUUUCACUGCCUAAAGGAAGAAUUGAAGCUCCAGAUGUUGACAUCUCUCUGCCUAAAGGAAAAAUUGAAGCUCCAGAUGUUGACAUCUCUCUGCCCAAAGGAAAAAUUGAAGCUCCAGAUGUUGACAACUCUCUGACCAAAGGAAAAAUUGAAGGUCCAGAGGUCAAGAUUGAAGGAGGUACAGGAGGAAAAUUCAAAAUGCCUCAUGUUAAACUGCCAGAUGUUGGCAUUUCACUGCCUAAAGGAAAACUCAAAGGACCAGAAUUUAAAGUUGAGGGAGAUGCAAGAGGAAAAUUCAAUAUGCCAGAUGUUGACAUCUCUCUGCCCAAAGGAAACAUUGAAGGUCCAGAUGUUGAUAUCUCGUUGCCCAAAGGAAACAUUGAAGGUUCAGAUGGAAAAUUUGAAGGACCUCAAGUUGAAGUUGAGGGAGAUGCAGGUGGAAAGUUCAAAAUGCCUCACCUGAAAAUGCCAGAUGUUGAUAUCUCUCUGCCCAAAGGAAAAAUUGAAGGGCCAGAAGUUGACGUUAAGGGAGAUGCAGGAGGAAAGUUGGAAAUGCCAAAAGUUGAUAUCGCUUUGCCUAAAGGAAAGAUUGAAGGUCCUGAGUUGAGCAUCAAAGAGAAAGACGGGAAAUUCAAGAUGCCACAUAUAAGCAUGCCCUCUGUUGAUAUUUCACUACCCAAAGGAAAAAUUGAAGGUCCAGAUGUUGAUAUCUCUCUGCCCAAAGGAAAAAUUGAAGGUCCAGAGGGCAAGAUCGAAGGAGGUACAGGAGGAAAAUUCAAAAUGCCUCAUGUUAAACUGCCAGAUUUUGUUGAUAUUUCACUGCCUAAGGGAAAAUUUGAAGGACCUCAAGUUAAAGUUGAGGGAGAUGCAGGUGGAAAGUUCAAAAUGCCUCACCUGAAAAGGCCAGAUGUUGAUAUCUCUCUGCCCAAAGGAAAAAUUGAAGGUCCAGAUGUUGAUAUCUCUCUGCCCAAAGGAAACAUUGAAGGUCCAGAUGUUGAUAUCUCUUUGCCCAAAGGAAAAAUUGAAGGUCCAGAGGCCAAGAUCGAAGGAGGUACAGGAGGAAAAUUC